CCUGAGAUUAGACCUGCCACUGAGUUGGGCUUGUUGGGAUAAAUUGUGAGUUAGUGGGCUUCUUUGUUGCUGUUGGGCUGAUUGGAAUAAACAUUAGCAGCCCAUGGAGUUGGACUUUAAGGUCGUUAAAGGAACGUGUCUAGGGUUUGCGGCUCAUGGCAUAUAUAAGUGAACAUCCAGUGAAUGAAGAGUUGGUUCAGAUUUUUAGUCAUCUCUCUCAUAUUUUACGUCUGAAGCAUAUCAAUACAAUCUAGGGUUUUCAUCUUCUUGGUUAUCAUGAAAACCUAAUCUAUCAUGUUCGUUGUCAAAGAUUAUCAGGUUGAUAUGCUUAAUCUAUUCACAUAGUUUCUUUUUGUUUACAACCAGAGAGUUGUACAAAUUUAGAGACGAUUGGAUUGUAUUGUGCAUAAUUAGAUGAUCACAUGUACUAACUUACACGAACGAGUAAUUGAAUGUCAAACGUGAUUCCAUGGCUAUGUGUUAGACUACGUGUAGGAUUUCAUAAAUCAAACUAACUGAAACGGUAAACAUAUCAGGAAGAGGUUGACCACUCCGGAUUACCUUCACACUUAUUUCUGCUGAGCAAACUAAGAUGUUAAUGAUGGCACAAAACAAAACGUCAGCAUUCGGUACACAGCUUAGUCAUUUGAUGAGGGUUAGCUACCUAAGUCAUACAUAAACCAAAAACAGGUACAACUGGGACGGACUAUUGCAAUUGCUGGAAUGGUGUGGUUUGAUAAACUUUAUGUUUUGAAUUAUUUAUUAAACUUGUGGUUUUUUUUUUAAAUUCUUGUUAGGAUUUUAACUUUAUUUCCGCUGCAACUUAAACUAUGUUUUGACAAUUAAAACUUG